AUAUCCAGAGCGUCCAGUGGCUAAGAGUUAGAAUCCGUGGCUGUGCGGCUUAUGCUUGAGCUUUGCUUGUCUAGUCUCGCCACCUGAUAGCAGAAGCAUGCAUGGCAUCUAAUCACUGUCUCCACAGCGAGUCUGGCAAUUACAGCAGAGCUUUUCUCAUAGGAAUGAAGGUCAUAACACUCACCCCAGAGAGUUGAAGAAAGGAAUAAAUAGGAAAACCCUUUAACACCCGAA